rnacentral:tRNA from 1 species
CAGAGAAUAGUUUAAUAAAAAUUUUAAUUUUGGAGAUUAAUAAUGGAAGAAUUUUCCUUCUCUGA